rnacentral:rRNA from 1 species
GACGAACGCUGGCGGCGUGCUUAACACAUGCAAGUCGAGCGAUGAAGCACCUUCGGGUGUGGAUUAGCGGCGAACGGGUGAGGAACACGUGAGGAAUCUGCCUUUCACUUCGGGAUAACUCCGGGAAACCGGGGCUAAUACCGGAUAUUUUCAACUGGCGGCAUCGCCGGUUGAAGAAAGUUUUUCGGUGAAAGAUGACCUCGCGGCCUAUCAGCUUGUUGGUGAGGUAAUGGCUCACCAAGGCGACGACGGGUAGCCGGCCUGAGAGGGCGGCCGGCCACACUGGGACUGAGACACGGCCCAGAAUCCUACGGGAGGCAGCAGUGGGGAAUAUUGGGCAAUGGAGGAAACUCUGACCCAGCGACGCCGCGUGAGGGAUGAAGGCCUUCGGGUUGUAAACCUCUUUCAGCAGGGAAUAAGCGGAAGUGAAGGUACCUGCAGAAGAAGCACCGGCUAACUAUGUGCCAGCCGCCGCAGUAA